UACGUAGGGGGCGAGCGUUGUCCGGAUUUACUGGGCGUAAAGCGCGUGUAGGCGGCGGCUUAAGUCGGGUGUGAAAGCCCGGGGCUCAACCCCGGGAUGCCGCUCGAGACUGGGUCGCUUGAGGACGGAAGAGGGGCGUGGAAUUCCUGGUGUAGCGGUGAAAUGCGUAGAGAUCAGGAGGAACACCCGUGGCGAAGGCGGCGCCCCUGGUCCGUUACUGACGCUGAGACGCGAAAGCGCGGGGAGCGAACGGG
rnacentral:rRNA from 1 species